rnacentral:lncRNA from 1 species
AGAGAGGAGAGAGAGAAACAGACGAGUGGAAGUUUUCGCGAGUGAGGGGUUCACCGAGCGCUCUUUCUCUCUCCUCUUUCUUCCCCUUCUCCUAGGGCUCCGAAUCGAUCGUCGUCGGAGACUCUCGCCGAUUCCUCGAGCGCUCCCUUCCGAUUUCUAGGAGCCGAUUGGGAUUGUGAGUUCGCGUCCCCGCUUUCAGAUCUGCAGCGAGUAAUUGGCUGGUCGAUUGCCGGCUCACCUGAUAGUCCUAGGUGGGUGGCAUUGGGGCAACUAAAUAAGGGGGUUCUUAGCGUGUUUUCGCCUGAACUUGGUGGUUUAGUAUCAUGAAUAUUGAAUGUGCGUGACAUUGUUGAGUUAGCGGAUGCGCUUUAUUGUAAAUGAUUUUCUUUCGGGGUCUGACACCUUUUUUUUUUUUUUUUUUGCAUUAUCUAUUGAAUUUGACUUCUCACGGGUAACGAAUUAUUCAAGUUGGCAAGAUUUGGAAGAAUUGAUUAAAAAGAUGUGCUUUUGGAACCCUUUUGUGGAAGCUUGGAGUUUAUUUCUGUGGAAGAAUUGAUAAAAAUAUGUCUUUUCAAAGUAUUACUCAAGGAUUACCUCAAAAGAGACUUGCAGAGCUGUUAUACCUCAGCAUACGAGUUGAUUAUGUUGAACAUUUGUUUAUAUUCUUCAUCAAUGUCGAUCUUUAUGAAUGAUUGCCUAGAGCCUUCAUUUAACCCUGAGCAGCCUCUCUGCUUGUGAUCCUUGUGGGGCAUGGUUUCUGGACUUGGAUACAAGUCCAAAAAAAAGUGGAAAAGAAGUUUUGGUGCCUUGAAAGUUAAAGGCUUGUCAUGAGGUUGAGAAUGUUAUCUUCGCGGUUUCAUUUUGUAAACAUUUCUGACCAAUAUAUAUGUGUGGACUUCACUUUGUUAACUUCUGCUCAUGAAAUUUGUAGCUGUAAGUGUCAUUGUCUGGCAUUUCAAACCAUUUCUUGUCCCAUGGAGCCUAAAAUUCCGAUGCCCUUUAGAAGGGCGGGAGGAGUUUUGCUAUCACUCACCAUUUCCUGUGUUACCAAAGUAUAUCUUGCGAUUAGAGCUUUCUUAUCGUGUUCCGAAUAUCUAUGUAGCCGAAUCACUCAAGGAAAAGAGCUCUGUUUUUGGGUUCUGUUACCACUGUUGUAGAGAGCUUUGAUUGUUCUAUAUUACCAUUUUAGGAAUCUUAAAAGCAUCUCUCCAAAAUGGUUGUUUCCAAGUCCCCAGUAGCACAGGUAGACCGGCCGAUGGGAGUUGUCUGUUUCCAGAUGACAAAGGACAGCAAUGUCAUCUUGAAUUUGUGGGCGACAAAUUUAGAAAAGCUCCUCGAUCUUGUUGAGAAAAGUUGCCACCAAAUCCACAAGGAAACCUUGGUUCAUAUGGCUGCUUUGAGAGCUUGAUAAUAUUCUUAGUUGAAUGAAUGAUCUCUCUCCCCUUGAGCGUCCCUCGAUCUCUCACCAAAAGAGAAGCGGAAUAAUGCUGUUUCACAUUGUGGCCUGAAGUGGGACUGAAGAUGUUUAUCAUAUCUCUCGUGUAGCUGGCUUUAAUUUGAUUGCUUAUUUUGCAGGGGGGCCAGAUCUGGGCCUUGUGUGGACUGAAAUGAUACAAUGAGUACACUUUCUGCAUAGGAAUUAGGAAUUUAUGUCGGUCUUUUCAUCUUUCCUCUUCAUCCCUCCUUUUCAUUGAAGAUUUUGAGCUCUCAGGGUCCAGAACUUGUGCCAAUGGAAUUAGUAUCAGCACAAGAUGUGCACUCAAUGCAACAGAAUGAGCAUGUUGAAAUCUGUUUGGCAUUACAAAUUUUGCUGGUGCUUAUAUUUUUUUAACAUUGGGGAUAACAUUAGCUCUCCAUAGAAAAGGCGAAUGGAUGUUAUUUUCUUAUAUCAUUUCACGUUUGAAUUUCAUCUUCAGCAGAGAGAGCGUGUUUCUUUUGGACCCAAUCUUGGCCAUCGGCAGUUCUAAAAACCUGUUUCUGGGGAGCUUCAUUCAAUUAGGUAACUGCAUUUUUUAUCUCCUCAAGAGAGACAUAGUUUCUCUCCAAGUUGAUGUUUUGAUGUCAUUUCCAUAAGACACUCCGUUGUGAUGUCAUUUCUCUAUAUAGUUUCUGUCACUGAAAUGUGUUUGAUUCCGACUGGUUUUGACAUCUCACUCAACUCUUGGCAUGUGUGUGUAAUACAGUGAGAAGCUUUGAAAUAUUGAGGAUAAUGUGUUUCUUCGGCGAUCGUAAAAUUUCAGAUUUGAUGGAAGUUAUCUUUACAUAGUCUCAUCCCAUUUUCAAUUAACUAUCGGUGCUUCUAAGUGGCAACAUAGGAUUAUUUCUUUGUCUAAUUUGUUUUCGCUUUUAUCUUUUGACACCAUUGCAUAUUUCCUAUUAAUCUCGGCAUUUGAUUGAUUUCAUUGGUCAAUUGUUGUCAGAAAUCUGAAGAAGAUGUAAAGGUUUUGAAUAUCGUGUCUUAGAGUGAAAUGGGAAAAGAGUGACUCCUAUGGGGAUCAUGGAGUAGUUCUUUAACUUUAUUCGUUUCAUGGAACAUGUUUGGAUGGAACCAGAAAAAAAAUAUGAUCCACUCCUUAAGUUUUCUAUUACACUUGUAUUCAUGCAGAUCUCCGAGUCCAGUAAAUAUCAGAUGAAUGGCACACUCUCAUGGAAGGAUGAGAAGCAACUCGAGUGAAAAACCCCUCGUCUCUACCCUCUGAAAGCUGAUUACUUCAUUGAUAUCAUUAUGUAGAGCUUUCGAUACUUAAUCACUUUUCAUUUUUUGCAAGUGUACAAAAAAGCUCGGGUCAAGUACGACAGUCCAAAGUUUACAUCAACGCAAAUAAUAUAGAAGAAAUAGAGCGAUUAUUUAUAAGUUGCUCAUGAUUGUUGUGUUGAAUGUAUUUUCCAAUUUUGCGCUUGAUUGAUAGAAGAAUAGUUCCGAGUAGUAAAUCUCUAACCAAGUUGAAUCCGAGAAAUUCCAUUGAUAUACCUAUAAAUUAGCAAAAAGUAAAUUUCUAUGUUUUGUUGUUG